rnacentral:rRNA from 1 species
UACAGAGGGGGCAGGCGUUGUCCGGAAUUACUGGGCGUAAAGCGUGCGCAGGCGGCUUUGCAAGACAGAUGUGAAAUCCCCGGGCUUAACCUGGGAACUGCAUUUGUGACUGCAUGGCUAGAGUGCGGCAGAGGGGGAUGGAAUUCCGCGUGUAGCAGUGAAAUGCGUAGAUAUGCGGAGGAACACCGAUGGCGAAGGCAAUCCCCUGGGCCUGCACUGACGCUCAUGCACGAAAGCGUGGGGAGCAAACAGG